rnacentral:rRNA from 1 species
UGACUGAGGCCCGCCAAGUAGACGACCAAGUCCCACCCUUCGAAAUGGGGUCGGCGACCGUCGCUCUUGCUGGCCGUGACAAACUUGGAAACAAAUUCGCGGGAACGACAAACACUGUUUUCCCUUCCCUUGGGGCUCACGCUCCGCUACGCACGCGACGCGUGCACGGGGGGACGUCCGCGUUCUUACUGUGACUAAAAAAGCGUGACCAAAGCUGUCAUUCGACAUGAGUUAGAAGCAUGGGAUAACAAAGGAGCAGCCUAUGGGCUACCGGUUCGGCUUUUGUUGGUUUUAAGGUCUGUGGGAGAUUAUGGGUCCGCACGACAAGCGGUUCGGGGGUGGCUCAAUGCCAUUCCCCCGCCUCCUGGCCGCGUUUGCUUCACGGCGGCGCAGUCGGGCUUGCGGUGCCCAGGAUGAAGGAGGGUUGUUCGGGGGAGAACGUACUUGAGCGUGAGAGGUGAAAUUCUUAGACCGCUCAAGACGAACUACAGCGAAGGCAUUCUCCAAGGAUACCUUCAUCAAUCAAGAACAAGUG